rnacentral:lncRNA from 1 species
AUAAGGUGUAGAUUAAGGAUGUCAGGAGCCAACUGGGUGCUGUGUGCUAAUUACUUCCAGGGUCUUAUCUCAUUUAAUUCUGCAACAACCUGGUAUUGAGGAUACAAAAGUGACCAGGACUCACCAAACCCCCUGCCUCCCGGGGCCUACAUUCAAGAAAGUAAACACACAAACCGCAUUACACGUCAGACAGUGCUGUGUCCCAUGGAGCAGGGAAAACGCUGACCUCAUGACCUGCACGCGGAAUAUGGGUUGAGGCCUCUAUGAGCUGGGCCUAGGAGGCAGUCUGAAUGGAGUCUCCCUCUGUCGCCCAGGGUGGAAUGCGAUGGCGCUAACUGAAGAAUCUUGCUCUAAAACCUCCUGUGGCUCCCUAGUGCCCUCCAGGUAAAAUCCCAGCUCCUCAGCCCAGCAGCACGUGCUGCCAUCGUGUCCCGGCCAGAAGCCACACUGCAGAGUGCUCAAAGGCCCAAGGUCAAGAUCAAAGGCCUGGGAUAACAUCGUGGUUCUGCCCCCUACCCACUUGGCCAAGUCACUUCACUUCUCUGUGACUCACUUUCCCCAUUUUUUUUCGUUUUCUUUUUUUUUAUUUUUU